UUGGUGAGGGUACACCCGUUCCCAUUCCGAACACGGCAGUUAAGCUCACUUAUGCCGAAAAUACUUGGCUGGAGACGGCCCGGGAAGAUAGGUCAGCGC
rnacentral:rRNA from 1 species